rnacentral:rRNA from 1 species
UAAUACUCCAUUAGAUCAUGGGAUCUGGAAUGACCCAAUGGUUGAAAGUUCCGGCGCUUAAGGAUCGCUCUGCGGCUUAUCAGUUUGUAUUGGGUGUAACGUACCCCCUAGCCAGUGACGAGUAUGGGCCUUGAGAGAGGGAGCCCAGAGUUGGAUUCUGAGACACGAAUCCAGGCCCUACGGGGCGCAGCAGUCGCGAAAACUUCACACUGGGGGCAACCCCGAUGAGGGAAUUCCUAGUGCUAGCUCUUUUUGAGUUAGCUUUUCUUUAGCGUAGAUAACUAAAGGAAUAAGGGCUGGGUAAGACGGGUGCCAGCCGCCGCGGUAAUACCUGCAGCCCAAGUGGUGGCCGAUAGUAUUGAGUCUAAAACGUUCGUAGCCGGUCUGAUAAAUCUUUGGGUAAAUCGGGAAGCUUAACUUUCCGACUCCCGAGGAGACUGUCAGACUUGGGACCGGGAGAGGCUAGAGGUACUUCUGGGGUAGGGGUAAAAUCCUGUAAUCCUAGAAGGACCACCGGUGGCGAAGGCGUCUAGCUAGAACGGAUCCGACGGUGAGGGACGAAGCCCUGGGGCGCAAACGGGAUUAGAUACCCCGGUAGUCCAGGGUGUAAACGCUGCAGACUUGGUGU